AACAUGAAAAUAAACUGAUGUAAAUAUUCCAGGGCAAUUCACUCUCCCUUCUCCUCUUCUGUCUUUCGCUUAUUUUCUUGUCCCAUGAGCUGAAUAGAUAAAAUUAUGGUUUCAAAAUGUUUGACAAAAUUAUCUCACACUUGCUCUACAUGGUUGAUCUGAAAUUAUUUGCAAAAGAUAACAAGGAUCUGAAAAGGCUACUAGUAACUGUGAAAAAAUUCAGUGAUAACAUCAAUAUAGAAUUUGGCCUUGACAAGCGUGCAAAAGCUUCAUUCAAAUGUGGUAAACUGACAGCUAAUACCAUGACCCAACUUGAUCAUGAUACAUCUAUCACAGACUUGGAUUAAGUAUCUUGGGGUACAUAAAGGGAAAGG